AUGUUUAAUCGAAUAAAAAGCAUAUUUAUUCCAAAAGAGAAAAAUCUGACAAUAACAACCUAUAUCACAAAUAUGUAAAAUUAUCAGUACCGCACUAACCUCAUAUUAGGGAACAAAUUAUCAAUCACGUGCUGUAGUGGAGAACUGUUUACACAGGAACACAAUUUAGUGCAUACAAAUCAUAUAUUUUGCAGUGUGAGCAGACGCGACGCAACACUAUGUAUACUGAAAGUUUACCGCUUUAUUUAACCGGUUUAGUGGUAAAAGGUUUUGGCAGAGGAUCUAAAGCUUUAGGCAUUCCAACAGCGAAUCUGGAAGAGAAGGUUGUUGAAGCUUUACCU